GACGUAGGUGGCGAACGUUAUCCGGAAUUAUUGGGCGUAAAGGGUGCGUAGGUGGCUUGGCAAGUUAUCAGUGGUAAAUCGAGGCCCAACCUCGUGGAAACUGGCAAUACUGCUUGGCUUGAGUGCAGGAGAGGUUAACGGAACUCUAUGUGGAGCGGUAAAAUGCACAGAUAUAUAGAAGAACAUCAAUAACGGCGAAGGCAGUUAACUAUUCUGUUACUGACACUGAGGCACGAAAGCGUGGGGAGCAAAACGG
rnacentral:rRNA from 1 species